ACGGAGGGGGCUAGCGUUGUUCGGAAUUACUGGGCGUAAAGCGCACGUAGGCGGCUUUGUAAGUCAGUGGUGAAAGCCCGGAGCUCAACUCCGGAAUUGCCAUUGAAACUGUUUAGCUUGAGGACGAGAGAGGUGAGUGGAAUUCCCAGUGUAGAGGUGAAAUUCGUAGAUAUUGGGAAGAACACCGGUGGCGAAGGCGGCUCACUGGCUCGUUUCUGACGCUCAGGCACGAUAGCGUGGGGAUCAAACAGGA
rnacentral:rRNA from 1 species